GCUUACGGCCAUACCUCUCUGGCUCCGCCUGAUCUCGUCUGAUCUCAGAAGCUAAGCAGAGUAGGGCCUGGUUAGUACUUGGAUGGAAGAUCCGCCUGGGAAUCCCAGGUGCCGUAAGCU
ensembl:rRNA 5S_rRNA 5S ribosomal RNA